GCGCUGAAGGUUGGUACUUGUACCGACUGGAUGAGCAGCGAACGGGUGAGUAACGCGUGGGGAAUCUGCCUUUGAGCGGGGGACAACAUUUGGAAACGAAUGCUAAUACCGCAUAAAAACUUUAAACACAAGUUUUAAGUUUGAAAGAUGCAAUUGCAUCACUCAAAGAUGAUCCCGCGUUGUAUUAGCUAGUUGGUGAGGUAAAGGCUCACCAAGGCGAUGAUACAUAGCCGACCUGAGAGGGUGAUCGGCCACAUUGGGACUGAGACACGGCCCAAACUCCUACGGGAGGCAGCAGUAGGGAAUCUUCGGCAAUGGACGAAAGUCUGACCGAGCAACGCCGCGUGAGUGAAGAAGGUUUUCGGAUCGUAAAACUCUGUUGGUAGAGAAGAACGUUGGUGAGAGUGGAAAGCUCAUCAAGUGACGGUAACUACCCAGAAAGGGACGGCUAACUACGUGCCAGCAGCCGCGGUAAUACGUAGGUCCCGAGCGUUGUCCGGAUUUAUUGGGCGUAAAGCGAGCGCAGGUGGUUUAUUAAGUCUGGUGUAAAAGGCAGUGGCUCAACCAUUGUAUGCAUUGGAAACUGGUAGACUUGAGUGCAGGAGAGGAGAGUGGAAUUCCAUGUGUAGCGGUGAAAUGCGUAGAUAUAUGGAGGAACACCGGUGGCGAAAGCGGCUCUCUGGCCUGUAACUGACACUGAGGCUCG
rnacentral:rRNA from 1 species